UGGGGAAUAUUGCACAAUGGGGGAAACCCUGAUGCAGCAACGCCGCGUGAAGGAAGACGGUCUUCGGAUUGUAAACUUUUGUUCUUGGUGAAGAAAAAUGACGGUAGCCAAGGAGGAAGCCACGGCUAACUACGUGCCAGCAGCCGCGGUAAUACGUAGGUGGCAAGCGUUGUCCGGAAUUACUGGGUGUAAAGGGAGCGUAGGCGGGCAGGCAAGUCAGGCGUGAAAUAUAUCGGCUCAACCGGUAACGGCGCUUGAAACUGCAGGUCUUGAGUGAAGUAGAGGUUGGCGGAAUUCCUAGUGUAGCGGUGAAAUGCGUAGAUAUUAGGAGGAACACCAGUGGCGAAGGCGGCCAACUGGGCUUUUACUGACGCUGAGGCUCGAAAGUGUGGGGAGCAAACAGGAUUAGAUACCCUGGUAGUCCACACCGUAAACGAUGAUUACUAGGUGUGGGGGGACUGACCCCUUCCGUGCCGGAGUUAACACAAUAAGUAAUCCACCUGGGGAGUACGGCCGCAAGGUUGAAACUCAAAGGAAUUGACGGGGGCCCGCACAAGCAGUGGAGUAUGUGGUUUAAUUCGACGCAACGCGAAGAACCUUACCAGGUCUUGACAUCGUAUGCAUAAUGUAGAGAUACACGAAGUCCUUCGGGACAUACAGACAGGUGGUGCAUGGUUGUCGUCAGCUCGUGUCGUGAGAUGUUGGGUUAAGUCCCGCAACGAGCGCAACCCUUGUAUUUAGUUGCUACGUAAGAGCACUCUAGAUAGACUGCCGUGGACAACACGGAGGAAGGUGGGGAUGACGUCAAAUCAUCAUGCCCCUUAUGACCUGGGCUACACACGUACUACAAUGGCAAUAGAACAGAGGGAAGCGACUCAGCGAUGAGAAGCAGAUCCCGAAAAAUUGUCUCAGUUCGGAUUGCAGGCUGCAACCCGCCUGCAUGAAGUCGGAAUUGCUAGUAAUCGCGGAUCAGCAUGCCGCGGUGAAUACGUUCCC
rnacentral:rRNA from 1 species